rnacentral:rRNA from 1 species
AGGACGAACGCUGGCGGCGUGCUUAACACAUGCAAGUCGAACGAGGCCCUGCCUUCGGGUGGGUGUUCUAGUGGCGAACGGGUGAGUAACACGUGGGCAACCUGCCCCCGGCUCUGGGAUAACUCCAAGAAAUUGGGGCUAAUACCGGAUAUGACCGCUGACCGCAUGGUCUGGUGGUGGAAAGUUUUUUCGGCUGGGGAUGGGCCCGCGGCCUAUCAGCUUGUUGGUGGGGUAGUGGCCUACCAAGGCGACGACGGGUAGCCGGCCUGAGAGGGUGACCGGCCGACACUGGGACUGAGACACGGCCCAGACUCCUACGGGAGGUAGCAGUGGGGAUAUUGCGCAAUGGGCGGAAGCCUGACGCAGCGACGCCGCGUGGGGGAUGACGGCCGUUCGGUUGUAAACCGUCUUUCAGUAGGGACGAAGCGUGAGUGACGGUACCUACAGAAGAGACGACCGACCAACUACGUGCCAGCAGCCGC